rnacentral:lncRNA from 10 species
GGCGCGGAGCCGCGCGGAGUGACAAAGCCGCCGCUGCCGCCGCCGGGGGUGGGAGCCGCGCUCGCCCGCCCGCCCCUCGACUCGCGAGGGCGUAAAAGUUUGUCUCAGCUCGAGCAUUCCUAGCGCCAACACGCCCUCAGGUAAAGGUGGAAGUAAAUGGCCACGCUGUAUUGACAGAGACAGGGACUGAGAAACGGAAAUACUACCAUCCUCCAGCCAAUCUGUUGGGAGGACUGCUUGCAGAGGACUCGUGCUCCAGAUGUUGCACUAGAGGCGCUGCAAGUGUGAGCAGCAGGUAGAUGAAACUCAAGAGAAAAGGUGUGGAUAAAUGAAACUAGCCCAUGAUGAACCUGUUUUCUCCGUGACCACAAUAUUAACCAGGAUGAAUGGCGGUGGCAGUGGGCCUGCAUCACAGGUUGCAGCAGAUGUUCUCAAUAUUUCUAUUAAAAUUUCCUUAUUUCCAUAUGCAAGAGGAGCCCCAGAGCUGCAUCCUUAUGGUAGCUACCAUGCCGUGAUGUAAGCUGCCAUUCACUGGGGAGCUUUGGCAAUAGAAUUGGCUAGAUCAGGAAGCCUAUGUCAACUAUGGAACAACAACUUGCAGCUCAUCUCUAUUGAUGAUGGAAUCUCGCUAUGUCACCAGGCUGGAGUGCAGUGGCGCAACCUCGGCUCAGCGCAACAUCCGCCUCCCGGGUUCAAGUGAUUCUCCUACCUCAGCCUCCUGAGUAGCUGGGAUUACAGGAAUCUAAUGACCAUUGAACUGUGGCCAUGACUUCAAUUACAAGUAUUUUCUUCACUAAUGUCAGACUGUGGGCCUUUGUAUAUACACUUUUAACAAACUUUUUGGAAGUGCAAUACAUAUCGCAACAACUUCUCAAUGCUGAAUCAUAGUAUUGGAAGACAUUUUAAGCAACAAUUAAACUCAACUUAUUUACUACCAAUAAUGUACAUAAGUCAGCUGAAGUGAGGAUAACAUGAAUAGCACAAAUACAUUAUGAUUGCUGCCUGGCCAACAGUAAUUAUAAGAAACUGUCAGUUUUGAGAUGUGUCUUGAUUUCAGAGAUGUUAAAAAAGUUUGUAAGUUACCAUUGAUAAAAUAUGAGUUUGCUUCCACAAAUAUUCUUUCUUCUGUCCUUCUGGAACUCAAGAGUAAACAUAUAUUAGAUUUUCUCACCAUUUCAUGCAUGCUGGUUCCUAGGCUACUCUCUGAGUCAUUUUUUUUUUCUUAUCUGCCCUCCAGUUCACUAGUUCUGUCAUUUUCUGGGUCUGAUCUGCUGCAAAUGCAAUACAUUGAGUUUUAAAUUUCAGUCAUUGUGUUUUCAUUUCUAGAAAUUUCAUUUGACUCUUUCUCAAAUUACUUUUCCAUUUUUUUUGUAGUUUCCUAUCCCUGGAGAUAUUUUCAAUCAUGCCAUUUAAUUUUUUAAAUACGCAAGUGUAGUUUUAUAAUUUGUGUCUGAUAAUUCUAAUAUCUGAAGUCUUAGUAGGUCUGUUUCAGUUGUCCUGUAAUUAUGCAUGUUUUUGCCCAUGUUGCUUUGUUUCCUUGUAUGCUUGGUUAUCUUUCUUACUGCCCUUGCAAAAUUAUUUGGAGAGUCCUGGAGGCUUAAAUGAAGAUAACUUUUAGGAAUAAUUUGCAUUUGCUUUUGCCGAGGAUCUUGGGAUCAUUUCAACCAAAAUCUUAGCUUGAAAUUCCGCAAUCAAUCAAGGUGAUGAGAACCUGGUCAGUAAAUCCUAAUGAGGGCCAGGCUGUGGCCAAAGAUUUUUAGACAGAUGUUUCCCUCCUUUGCCAUUUCUCUUUUCUUUCCUCCUCUGCUCCUCUUAGUGUCCAGACAACCUUCAUGGAAGUCCUUGGGGUGGGUGGGAAAUGAGGACGGCAGGUUUCAUUCUAGGUAUAGCCCUUUGAGGUCUAACUUAAUGCAGAGAGAGUUUUCUGGUCUAUGUGCCACCUUACAUGGGAUCUUGAGCCUUGAUUUCUAAACCCCUUGCCUUUGAUGUUUCAGAAUUGAAGCUUAAAUUUGCCAACAGGCAAAUGUCCUCAAGGCAAAUUGGCUUAGGUGUUCGAUAUUCUUCUUACCAGAAAGGUAAACUUGGGUUUUUUACUUCACCCAGGAUUUGGCAUGACAGUUCCCCAUUAUCUUGUCAGCUUAGUGCUUUAAGUGAUUGCAUUUAAAAAAAUUCUGCAUUUUCAGUUUUUAGCAGGAGGAAUGGCCUCAACUAGUGGUUUUCAACUGGGGAUGAUUUUUUUCCCCUAGGGGACAUUUGAUAAUGUUUGGAGAUGUUUUAGUUGUUAGAACUGGGGUUGGGGGAACUACUGUCAUCUGGUGGGGAGAGACCGGCAAUGCUGUUGAUCUUACUAUAAUGCACAGGCCACCCCCAACAACAAACAAAUUACAUAGCCCCAAAUAUCAAUAAUGCCAAGGUCCAAAUAACCUAACCUUCCAUUACUGAAAAUAGAAGUUCAAGAAGAUAGUUUAUAAUUUAAAAAUUUUUAGGUCUUAAUAAGUUGUCAUACUUUCACAGGUUUUAUUUCAUACUAAGUAAUUUAUUUCAAAUUUUACAUUCCAAUUACAGAAAAUUUUCUAAGCCAGUUUUUGUUCUUCAUGAGUAUUACUAUCAAGGUCACAUUUUUCAUCUAGUAUGUUUUACCCUGGUACUUGUUGGCAGGGUCAGGACUAAGGUGAGAUGCGCAAGGCAUUUGCCUCACACAAAAUGCACAAUGAAUAAAAUGUCAAAACUUUAAAUAAAGACAGAAUCACUAAAAGUACUUUGCCAUAUUGGAACCUGAGGCAAAAAGAAAAAUAAGUAAUAAUAUUUAAAAUUUUGAUCUCUUGUUCAUUGUAGAUUUUUACAUUAAUUUUGAUUGUUUAAAACAUUGCAUUAAAAUAUUAUUUAAUGUG